UCCAGCCAGGCCGGCGUCGAGUGGCGCCGGCCGCGCGGGUCGUGGCCCAUGUUCGGGGCGCCGCCGAAACCGGCCAGGCGUCCGCGGGUGACGGUGGAGGAAUGGCCGUCGCCGUCGACCUGGAGGGUAGCGCCGAUGAACAGGUCGACGGCGUAUUGUCCUGCCAGUUGGCAGAACAUCCGAUUGGAACGCAGCGAGCCG
rnacentral:sRNA from 1 species